ACGCGCAGAACCUUACCAACCCUUGACAUACUUGUCGCGGAUUCCAGAGAUGGAUUCCUUCAGUUCGGCUGGACAAUGUACAGGUGCUGCAUGGCUGUCGUCAGCUCGUGUCGUGAGAUGUUCGGUUAAGUCCGGCAACGAGCGCAACCCACGUCCUUAGUUACCAGCAUUUAGUUGGGUACCCUAAGGAGACUGCCGGUGAUAAGCCGGAGGAAGGUGUGGACGACGUCAAGUCAUCAUGGCCCUUACGGGUUGGGCUACACACGUGCUACAAUGGCAUCUACAGUGAGUUAAUCUCCAAAAGAUGUCUCAGUUCGGAUUGGGGUCUGCAACUCGACCCCAUGAAGUUGGAAUCGCUAGUAAUCGCGGAACAGCAUGCCGCGGUGAAUACGUUCCCGGGCCUUGUACACACCGCCCGUCACACCAUGGGAAUUGGGUCUACCCGAAGGUGGUGCGCCAACUAUU
rnacentral:rRNA from 1 species